AGUGCUGCACUUCAGCUCGCCCGCGACACCCACUGCGCUGCCACUGUCACAGCCCGAUUCCGGCCGUCUCCGGCGAGGCCUCGCGCAGCCAGCCUCCGUCCCAACACCCCAGCUCCUAAUCCUAUACCGAACCCGCGGCGCUGAGCCGUCAAUCUGCAGCACCCGUGACGAACCCUAGACGAGCGAGAGCAAGAUCCCGUAUCACCGGCGCCGCUGCGUGGUUCCAUCCCAUCUCCUGGCCGGCCACCCACGGGAGCAAGCUCGCCGCGGCACUGGAUUGGCGGCGGGGAGGCUCGGACUAAGAGAUGGUGGUCAUCUGCAAGAAGCUGCUGGGACUACCACCCUGACCGCUGCAACCACCGGCGACGUCCCCGAUUACCUGCCGCCGGCCACCUCUCCGGCAUGCUGUUGUCGGUCUCCUCCCCAGCGGUCCGCUGCCCAGCACGGCUGUGGUUGUGGCUCCUCGGUUCUCCUCACAAGGCCCUGUGAAUCCUUCUCCAUCUCCUUCCUGUUGGUGGUCGCCACCGUUGCCGUGGUUCAGAUACAAGUAAAUCCAGUUCGUGUACGAUGAGUACAACCUGUAUAUACAAUAAAAAAAUCCCGCGAGGGUGCUUGAUGGAUUCCACAAGAAUUAUAUUAUCCCACUGAAAACUUUCCCAUCUUGCUUCGUGGGCAUCAUCCAUCCACCAAAUACAUGAUUUAAGAAGGUUCACCUUUUUGUGUUUUGUUAGAUAUAGGCAGCAGCCAAGUGCGGCAUCCAUUGCUGGCCAUUUUCUAGUAAUGCUAGGUGCGGUUAGAGUGAUCAAUCCAUAGCAUGCAACUUAGACUACUAAACUACUGCAUGUGUGCCAGUAAUUUGCACUACUAUGCAUUAUCUAGUCUGCAAGACUAGUUAAAUGGCCAUUGUUGUGUACUUAGUUUUUUUACUGUCUUAUUGUUGGAUCCUCGUAGCUGCAUUUUGAGGCGUACUCAAUUUAGUACAGUUGUUGUAUAGCUUAGUUCAGAUUGAGAUACUACUUCUGCCGACCUCCUAUCCUUGUGGCAGCAUGUGGUACUCAAUUAAGUGGAGGACUACUAGAUUUUAGAUCCUACUCAUCAUGUGUUUCUCAGCAUGAAAUAACUCGCUGUGCAUAUUAAUGUUCUGCAAUUCAGUGGAGAAGUGUAGUUUAUCAUAUGUUUAAUAUCAGUUGUUCUGUUGUUUAGCAAAUUUAACAAACACUACCGGUUGGCUGUACCUAAUUAGUAUUUAAUACCUGGUUGCCUGUUAGGUUGGUGAGGUUUAAUAGUGAGGUGGAUAGUGCAAUGCUAUCUGCCUGACUUCUUUCAAUAGAAUGAUAGGAGCUACUUUAUUAGCUUUAAUUUUAUCAUAUUACAAAGUUGCUAUUGAUUCUUUUUUGGCAACUGGAGGAGUUAUGGGUCGGAUAAAUCGGGGGAGAAGGUGAUGGAGCAGUAUGUUCGCUGGUCCAACUCUUUCUUCUACUUCAUCACUGGCGUUGUUGUCAAGGUUGCAGGAAUUCUGUAUUUGGGAAAACUCUCAUGUUCAAAAUUUUCAUUAACAAUAGGAAGUGGGGCCGAAGUGUCGAAAAUUGACAUGUAAAUUCUAUUGGAUUGGUUGCACCAGACCGCGAGCUCACCCUAAUGGAUUGGUGGCACAGCGCGAAGCAAGACACGCCAACGCCGCUUCGCAAAGGCCUAUCAUCUGCCUCCCUCCUAAUCCCCUGGAAGACCUGGAAACACAGAAAUGAUUGCAUCUUCGAAGGAGCCCAACCCUCUAUACCGCUGCUGCUGCAAAACAUCAAGGACGAGCUUAGGCUUUGGGCUCGGGCAGGGGCCCAGGGGUUACAAGUAGUGCUGCCAUCCAGUUGGGAUGUGCACUGAUAGCUCCUCUCCAUUAUCUGUAAUCUGCCUCCUAGGAGGAUGUAAACAAAUUUCUAUCUUUUCAAUGAAAUGAAACGCAAUGGUCCUUUGCGUUUUCUCAACAAAAAAAAAAUCUAUUUCAGAGUGUAUAG